UUAACUAUUAUAUAGUACUCAGACGACAUUAACAAAAGAGUUUGGGGUCCUCUGGCGGGCACUGACCAGCCGAAGCCGGUGGUCGUAAGACGGGCCCGCCAAAGCAACAGAGGUAAUGUAAACAAAGGGUGGGAGAUCUACCCCGAAGGGCAAGUUCUCUGUAAUGAUCCUUCCGCAGGUUCACCUACGGAAA
rnacentral:misc_RNA from 1 species